rnacentral:rRNA from 1 species
GGGAACUCCAGGGAGACUGCCGGUGAUAAACCGGAGGAAGGUGGGGACGACGUCAAGUCAUCAUGGCCCUUACGAGUAGGGCUACACACGUGCUACAAUGGCGCAUACAGAGGGCGGCCAACUUGCGAGAGUGAGCGAAUCCCAAAAAGUGCGUCGUAGUCCGGAUUGGAGUCUGCAACUCGACUCCAUGAAGUCGGAAUCGCUAGUAAUCGUGGAUCAGAAUGCCACGGUGAAUACGUUCCCGGGCCUUGUACACACCGCCCGUCACACCAUGGGAGUGGGCUGCAAAAGAAGUGGGUAGUUUAACCUUCGGGGGGACGCUCACCACUUUGUGGUUCAUGACUGGGGUGAAGUCGUAACAAGGUAGCGCUAGGGGAACCUGGCGCUGGAUCACCUCCUUA